rnacentral:lncRNA from 1 species
CUGAUUUUAAGUUUUGUUUCCAGGUUGCUUCAGAAUAUGAUUGUUACUUACCUUAUGUGUUAGGGUAUUUAGGGAUGGUAUAAAUACUAGUUUUUAAUAAGGUUUAGGGGGACUUUUUUGACUGGAAUUCAGUGAGAGCUACUCUUGGAGAUUUGGAGAUCAAAUUGAAGAUACAACGAGACAUAUAUUGAAGAACAAAGAUUGGAC